rnacentral:rRNA from 1 species
GACGAACGCUGGCGGCGUGCCUAAUACAUGCAAGUAGAACGCAGUUGCGCACGGGUGAGUAACGCGUAGGUAACUGCCCCAUAGCGGGGGAAAACUAUUGGAAACGAUAGCUAAUACCGCAUACUUUGAGAUGGACCUGCGUGGGAUUAGGUAGUUGGUGCGGUAAAGGCUCACCAAGGCGACGAUACAUAGCCGACGUGAGAGGGUGAACGGCCAAACUGGGACCGAGAAACGGGCCAGAAGUCUAACGGAGGCAGCAGUAGGGAAACUUCGGCAAUGGGGGGAAGUCUGGACGAGCAACGGCGCGGUGGUGAAGAAGGGUUUCGGAUUGGAAAGGUCUGUUGUUAGAGAAGCGGUAACUAACCAGAAAGCGCCGGCUAACUACGUGCCAGCAGCCGCGGUAAUUC